UGCUGUCAGUGAUGAGACCACGGAUCUUGCGUCAGGCAUGGCGCCCGAAUAAUAUGAGGAUACGUUUCCAUGCUGCCUUCCUUCUGAGACUACA